rnacentral:lncRNA from 1 species
UUUUUAUUUCUUUCUGCAGCCACCUUGUUGGAUUUUUAAUCUCCUGCCAUUGUUAAAAUCAAAUGCUCGUUAGGAAAUUGGAUUGGUCAAUGAAGCUGACACAAGUGAGAAAAUGAGAUUACCAUUUGAAUAACGCUGUGGUUGGUUUGGUUGGCAAACCUCCCUCUGCAAAUGAUGUAAUCACCCUCCCAAUCCCUAAAUGGUGGGGGAGGGCUUUGAUGACCAUGGCCCACCAUGCGAUCUCUUGGAUGGUGUCAAAUUGCGUGGGUGAACCACCUGCCACCUUCCCAAUCCACAAACCAUUCCAGGCCCAGUCAGUGUCAGCCACUCGUGGGCCCACCCUAGACGGUGGACUUGCUCGUGAGGUUGCAUUGAUGUGCAGGAAGGGGAUCACAUCUCACUGUAGCUGAACCAAGACUUGUUGGAUAGGAUUGC